rnacentral:misc_RNA from 1 species
AGCAGCCGCGGUAAUUCCAGCUCCAAUAGCGUAUAUUAAAGUUGUUGCAGUUAAAAGCUCGUAGUUGAAUUUCGGGAUUGACGUGAUGGUCGUGCCUUACGGGGUAUGAACUGUUGCUGUUGAUUUCUCACCUUCUGGAGAAACUUGAUGUCCUUAAUUGGGUGUCUUGCGGAUCCAGGACCUUUACCUUGAAAAAUUGAGUGUUUAAAGCAGGCAUUUUGCUCGAAUACAUUAGCAUGGAAUAAUAGAAUAGGACGGCAUGGUUCUAUUUUGUUGGUUCUGGGAUCACCGUAAUGAUUAAUAGGGAUAGUUGGGGGCAUUAGUAUUCAAUUGUCAGAGGUGAAAUUCUUGGAUUUAUUGAAGACUAACUACUGCGAAAGCAUUUGCCAAGGAUGUUUUCAUUAAUCAAGAACGAAAGUUAGGGAUCGAAGACGAUCAG